AUUUCAACAAAUCCAAUUUCAAUAACAAUAUCAGCAACAACUUAAAACGCUCCAACAAAGCCAAAGUCGGCCUAUUCAUACGAAAGUCCAAUCGCAACCGACACCCGAUACCCCUUCGUUAGACGAUUUGGAUGACACUGACGUUGUACCCGAAACCCAACCUCAAAGUUCUAAGAAAACAUCUAAAAAAAGUGUUCAAAGAGGCCGGAACAAGAUAAUUUAACCACUGGUAGAGGUCAAAUUUGGACAUCGAUCGAAGAGAUGGCGUUGGCAAGGGCGUGGACCAAUACGUCUACGUGUCCGAUCGUAGGUAAUAAUCAAAAGUCUGGUAGUUUUUGGAAUGAGGUUUGCAACAAAUUUCAU